UGGGGACCUUGGUGCUCUGCCAAGGGUCCCUUUUAGUGGCUUCUGAGAAAUCUCAGAAGGGGUUUUGUGUUGUAGAUGAAGAAUUACAGAUCUGGCUAAAACUCCUACUUAGCUGAGGGCUUGAAAAACAGAAAGAUACAGUGAUUUUCCCAAAGCUGCACAGCAGAUAGAGCUGAGAAUCUGCCAGUUUUCUAGUGUUCCUAGUGCUUUGUGUAUCACAUGAUCGUAUCACAUUACUGACACUGGCGCUUGCUGAGGAUCAGCUGGGGAGAGAUAACGCUGGUGUCUGUAAGCCACAAAGCACUCACACCUCUUGGCUGGUGAUCCACUGGCCAAAGUUGGAAUUCACUUGCCAACACCAGGGCAUACGCAAGAGGAACUGGCCACUGCUGACCAGUGAACCUGCCACCGAAUCUUGAUGAAAGGUUCCCACUACAUUUGCAGAACAGAUGCUGAGACCAAGGGAUCAUAUUUUACUGUAAUGGAAGCCGUCCGAAUGUAUGCCUCACCCAUCUGUCUUCUCUCAAGGCAUUUUGUAAAAUAUCCUGAACCGAGACAUUUGCCCUGGACAAUGAUUGCAAAGCUCACAGGAAAUCCAUUUAUGUAACAAAAGGAUAUCAAAGUAGUCACAUCACUUCCAAAGCCUUCCUCUGAAGUCCCUCCUGCCUUCAGAAGAUUGGGGAUGUCAGAGUGAGAGCUAUAAGCACUCCAGAAGAAUUGUGUCCCAAAGCACGUCUUCCUGAGGGUCAGAACAUCACAGGCCCUGGCUGGAACAGACCCUAGAGUUGGCUGAUCAGUGCGGUCAUCUUAUAACCAGAAAGCAGCCUCGGGAAGGUUGGCAGCCAUCAAGACCACAAGCUACUCAGUGGUGUAGCCGGGAUUAGAACCCAGAUCUUUUGGUACCUCUGCCAGGAAGUUUUCCCUAUCCUGGAAUUAUCGGCUUUUCUCAGAAAGGAAGAGGUCAGUCCUCUUCAUCAUGAAAACCACAGUGGAAAGACAAGAAGGAAAUAAGCCAAAAUGUGAAUACUGUUCUGUUUGACAUAGAGAUGACAUUUCGGUCCUAAUUCUAUUUUUCUGCAUUGGCCAAAAUGUCUACAAAGGGCAUAUACUGCUUUUACGCCAGAAAAAAAAAAUUACUUUAAAAAUGAGGGGAUAAAAAAAAGCAGAAGGUGAAGUACAUACCCUAGAAAGCAUCAUCUAUGUGGCUCCUAGUCAUUGAUCCAAAUAAGCAGAACUAAUAAAAUGCCAUGACAUUUCCCUGUGCCAGGGGAGACAUCAGGCUGUGAGCAAGGAUGACUCAUGGAGGCAGUGGGGAGACCUCCCUACUGGCUGCCCGUGGGACGUCAGCUCUCUUUCAUAGGCUUCACUUUGCUGUGCCUUCACCCACAGACUGGCAAGGAGCAGAGGCCUGCUUCGUUACCUCUGGUGAUUUCCUC
rnacentral:lncRNA from 1 species